rnacentral:rRNA from 1 species
AGUGAACGCUGGCGGUAGGUCUAACACAUGCAAGUCGAACGGCAGCACAGGAGAGCUUGCUCUCUGGGUGGCGAGUGGCGGACGGGUGAGAAAUACAUCGGAAUCUACUCUGUCGUGGGGGAUAACGUAGGGAAACUUACGCUAAUACCGCAUACGACCUACGGGUGAAAGCAGGGGAUCAUCGGACCUUGCGCGAUUGAAUGAGCCGAUGUCGGAUUAGCUAGUUGGCGGGGUAAAGGCCCACCAAGGCGACGAUCCGUAGCUGGUCUGAGAUGAUGAGCAGCCACACUGGAACUGAGACACGGUCCAGAGUCCUACGGGCGGCAGCAGUGGGGAAUAUUGGACAUUGGGCGCAAGCCUGAUCCAGCCAUACCGCGUGGGUGAAGAAGGCCUUCGGGUUGUAAAGCCCUUUUGUUGAGAAAGAAAUCCAGCUGGCUAAUACCCGGUUGGGAUGACGGUACCCAAAGAAUAAGCACCGGCUAACUUCGUGCCAGCCGCCGCGGUAA